GAUGAACGCUAGCUACAGGCUUAACACAUGCAAGUCGAGGGGAAACGACAUCGAAAGCUUGCUUUUGAUGGGCGUCGACCGGCGCACGGGUGAGUAACGCGUAUCCAACCUGCCCAUCACUUGGGAAUAACCUUGCGAAAGUAAGACUAAUACCCAAUGAUAUCCCACGAAGGCAUCGGAAUGGGAUUAAAGAUUUAUCGGUGAUGGAUGGGGAUGCGUCUGAUUAGCUUGUUGGCGGGGUAACGGCCCACCAAGGCAACGAUCAGUAGGGGUUCUGAGAGGAAGGUCCCCCACAUGGGAACUGAGACACGGUCCAAACUCCUACGGGAGGCAGCAGUGAGGAAUAUUGGUCAAUGGGCGAGAGCCUGAACCAGCCAAGUAGCGUGCAGGAAGACGGCCCUAGGGGUUGUAAACUGCUUUUAUAAGGGAAUAAAGUGGGUCACGUGUGACUUUUUGCAUGUACCUUAUGAAUAAGGACCGGCUAAUUCCGUG
rnacentral:rRNA from 1 species